AUGGAGCUGGUUCCUUCUGCUCGUCAGCUAAACGAGCCCCUGUGCGUGCAGGGGUGCGGUGGUGGGAGGCUUGGGGCAAAAUCCCCUCUGCUCCUGGGCAGCAGCUCCCCGGGGCGGUGGCGAAUUGCCCCCAGGGACAGCGAGUGUCCAGCAGGAAGGGCAGGACGGAGACCAAAGCCCUGCCUGCACAUCGGCACCCAAACCCCAAAAAAGCGACCAGGUGCCCUCCAGCUGGCCUCCAGCACUGCUGGGAAGCGUUACGGGAGCCCACGGGGCUGGGGCCGGGGCAGGACAGCCCCGUGGUUUUACCUCCUGCUCCCUUCCUCUCCCCAACCCUUUCCACACGAUGGUUUCCUGACUUCUCUGUGGCUGCCUCACACCAUCCUGCUGCUUCAGACCCCCAAGACCCCCUCCUGCACCACGGGAGCGAGCGGGGACACAGCUCCCACCAGGGGACCCCAUCCCAGGGCUGCGUCCCCGGGGUCCCCGUCCCUUCCCCACCCCAACACUGAGGUCACGGCGCUGGGGAGCAGCUGCCCAGGCCCUCCCUGGUGCCACAGGAGGGUGGGGGGCUCCACGCUGGAGCUUUGGGGGGGUUUGGAAAUGGCUUGGUGCUGCCUGGGCUGGCCCCAACCCCAUUUGGGGGAUCCCUUGCGCCCCAGUGGGGUUUUCUCCUGCAGGAAGAGCCGCAGCACCCAGCACCCCUCCUGCCCCCCGGAGCUGGGGGUCGCUGCGGGUGCAGGGACCUGGGGAGGAGCUGGGGGCUGCAGCAUCCCGGUGAGCCCCCUCCUGGAGCCACAGCUCUGCCAGGAGCUGGUUGCCUACACCCUGGAGCUGCCGCUGUGGAGGGGAGAUGUCACCCGGGUCCCCUGCAAGGUGAGGCGAUGCCACCCCAGCACACGGCAUCCCGUGAGCCUGGCCACGGUGGAUUUGGGGCCCUGGGCAUCUCCGCAUUGCCAGGGGGGUGGCAGCUGUGGGGCCGGUGGCAAGAAGCGGGGCAGGAGGAGCCCCCCACAGGGUGCCAGGGAUGCGGCGUGGCCCAGCACCGCGGUGCUCAGCGCUUUGACUUCCUUCCCCGCGCGGAGCCGAUUUCCUCCAGCGUCACGUGCGCGGCGCGGGGCCAGGGUGGCCGGGGGGAGCCUGGCACGGCGCCGAGCGGCACGGCCUGGGGGGCAGCCCCGUGCCAGCAGCCUGAGCCAGCGAGGGACCGGCCUGGCCACCAGCAGCAGCACAGGGACGCCGACGGCUUCAGCGCCCUGCAGGUGA
rnacentral:lncRNA from 1 species